rnacentral:rRNA from 1 species
UUCGAUUCCGGAGAGGGAGCCCGAGAAACGGCUACCACUUCCAAGGAAGGCAGCAGGCGCGCAACUUACCCUAAUCUCGAUUCGAGGAGGUAGUGACAAGAAUACCGAUGCGGGACCCUACGGGUGCCGCGUUCGGAAUGAGUACGAUUCGAACCACCUAACGAGGAACGAUCGAGGGCAAGUCUGGUGCCAGCAGCCGCGGUAAUUCCAGCUCCAAUAGCGUACGUUAAAGUUGCUGCAGUUAAAAAGCUCGUAGUUGAACGUUCGGGUUCCGCGGGACGGGGCCGCCCCGCGAGGGACGGCGCCGCCCCGGGGCUCGUGAUAUCUUAUCUCGCCGCCCGUCGCGAGGCGGACGGAGGGAUGGAUGAGGUUACCUGGAAAAAAUCGGGGCGAUCUAGGCGGGCGAACCUCGCCAACGAACGAUCGGACAUGGGAU